GACGAACGCUGGCGGCGUGCUUAACACAUGCAAGUCGAACGGAAAGGCCCCUUCGGGGGUACUCGAGUGGCGAACGGGUGAGUAACACGUGAGUAACCUGCCCUUGACUUCGGGAUAACUUCAGGAAACUGGGGCUAAUACCGGAUAGGAAUCCUUGCUGCAUGGUGGGGGUUGGAAAGCUUCGGCGGUUUUGGAUGGACUCGCGGCUUAUCAGCUUGUUGGUGGGGUAGUGGCUUACCAAGGCUUUGACGGGUAGCCGGCCUGAGAGGGCGACCGGCCACAUUGGGACUGAGAUACGGCCCAGACUCCUACGGGAGGGAGCAGUGGGGAAUAUUGCACAAUGGGCGGAAGCCUGAUGCAGCAACGCCGCGUGCGGGAUGACGGCCUUCGGGUUGUAAACCGCUUUCAGCAGGGGCGAAGCUUGUGGUGACGGUACCUGCAGAAGAAGCACCGGCUAACUACGUG
rnacentral:rRNA from 1 species